rnacentral:rRNA from 1 species
GCCUACGGGGGGCAGCAGUGGGGAAUAUUGCCCAAUGGGGGAAACCCUGAUGCAGCGACGCCGCGUGAGCGAUGAAGUAUUUCCGUAUGUAAAGCUCUAUCCGCAGGGAAGAAAAUGACGGUACCUGACUAAGAAGCCUUGGCUAACUACGUGCCAGCAGCCGCGGUAAUACGUAGGGGGCAAGCGUUAUCCGGAUUUACUGGGUGUAAAGGGAGCGUAGACGGCGGUGCAAGCCAGAUGUGAAAGCCCGGGACUCAACCCCGGGACUGCAUUUGGAACUGUGCUGCUAGAGUGUCGGAGAGGCG